UACGUAGGGUGCGAGCGUUGUCCGGAAUUAUUGGGCGUAAAGAGCUUGUAGGCGGUUUGUCGCGUCUGCCGUGAAAAUCCGGGGCUCAACCCCGGACUUGCGGUGGGUACGGGCAGACUAGAGUGUGGUAGGGGAGACUGGAAUUCCUGGUGUAGCGGUGAAAUGCGCAGAUAUCAGGAGGAACACCGAUGGCGAAGGCAGGUCUCUGGGCCACUACUGACGCUGAGAAGCGAAGGCGUGGGGAGCGAACAGG
rnacentral:rRNA from 1 species